CUAGAGACACUGAGGUCAUCUUCAUGCCCAGAGCAGGUACAGUUUGGGUAGCACCAGUGCACGCUUCCCCACACUGCCCCUCUGGGGUUCCCCACUGAGCAAAAGGGCUCUUUCUCUGCGGGGAGAAGACAAAGUGCAGAGAUUCCUGAUGCCUGUAUGUC
rnacentral:sRNA from 1 species